rnacentral:lncRNA from 1 species
GUUGAUUUGCAUGUUAAAGAUAGAUGUGGUGAGCUUCGAGUUAUUCGUUGCCUGAAGAGAAAUGGAGUUUAUGACAAGCCAGUGCUUUCUAUGGGCUGGCUUAAAUUUGUUGCUGAUUAUGGACUGAGAGUUGGUGACAAGGUUGUUCUUCAUCGUGAGGAUGACCAGAACCUGGGGUCACAGUUCAUGAUUGAAGCUAAGAGGAGAAUCAUGCUGCUUGGUGAGGAGGCUUGGGGUGAUGUGACAAGAGCUAACUAGCUAUUAUUUGGAUGUUCGGCCAUAUCCAGAUAUAUAUAGAAGAAUGAAUUUAUGUAUGUGUUUAUGUUUGAGUGUUUGUAGUGAUCAUAAUCAAUGUCAUCUGCGUCAGUCUAAUUAAAUACAUAGAAGAAUGAAUUCCGUUUCCAAGAGUUUUUUUUUUCCAGGUUUUUCAAUUUUGUUGGUUUUUUAUUUUUAUUUUUUCUAUUUUGUGCGCAUUUCAAGUGUCUGAAAACGAGGAUUUCCAUUGAUUUGAUGGAUAAAUAAAUCGAAAUGGAUAAAAAAGAAAUAUAAUUCUUUAAAUCAUGGGAACUAACACAUGCAUUGGUGAUGCUAUGAAACAAAGAUCGAUUGAUUCAAAUCCAUCAUCAUCAAUAACAUAUCGUAUUUAGAUUCAUCAAAUUGAUUCGGUCAUACUAGUUUAGCAACUUUUUUUUUUAUUAGAGUUAGAAAAUUUAAAUUGAAGUUAUAUGUGGAUUCGAGUUGAAAUAACAUUUGUUGAAUUAAUAUUUUGAAUUUUAUAUAUAUAUAUAAAGAAUAGUUCAAUCUCAAAACGAUUUGUUGAAACGCUAUGAAACUAAAACAUUUAGUUUUAAUUAAAAAAACAGAACGAAAACCGGACUGAAGCAAUUGUAACAUGGACUCCACCAUUAGCCUGUGAACUCAAGAGUCCAACUUCCUCUUUCCUUCCUAGUUUAUGUGAAGUUUGCUUACUGAUUCACAUGUCCUUAAAAACUUUUACAGGUAUUACGGAUUGGUUUUGUGAUGUCUCAAGAGGACAGUUUUUUUUUUUUUCUUUUGUAAAGAAGUUUGAAGCAAGCAGGCAAGCAACCAUCAAGAAACUAGCUCAGUAUUGAAUUGAAACAUGUCCAGUCCUUCAAAAUUCACAGAAUGUAAUGGGAAUAGUGAGAGUAAUUCAAUAAAGAAGCACUGAAACAAAACCCCAUGUUUGGGAAUCAAAAUAAGUCCACAUGGAGGGAUUCACAAAAGGCAUCAAAAUUGAGAAGAGAAACUUACUCCUUUUCUCCUCCUCUUUUGAUAAGCCCAGAUGGAGGGAUUCACAAAGGCAUCAAAAUUGGCCCAAACCUGGAGCAAAACGCAAAGAAAUUAAGUUGGUAGCUAUACAAAACUCCUGCUUAGGAACUGGAAGAAAGAAAGCGAUUUGGCAUCGCUGCAGCAGCUAGAGAGAUCUUAAAAGAGAUGCUUAGCUUACCUCUUUACAUGUAUCAAAAACAAGAACACCCAAUAUUCCAAGCCUGGUUCACAUCCAAGAUAUCGAAGAGGUCAAUGCUUCGGUCAAUGCAGACGAGAGUGUUGAGGUCAACAGCCAAGUCUCCAUGAUUUGCUUAUUAUUUGGAUCCUCAAAAACAAAGAGCAAUACCAUGAGAAUAUUCGAAAGCAAUAAUUGAAGGAGCUUAAGCCAAGAUGCCAUUCAUAUAUAUUACGAUAUUAGGUAAAAAGAUUCCCUGGAACGGAGGACGAGAUUGCGUUUGAAGGAAAAGAAGCGGUAUUAUUUUGACUCACAAUCUUGGAACAAGUACAAAUAAGUCCUUCUCCUUUAUAGUCUGGCUAAUCUGCCCCCAAGCUUUCUUUCCAUGUUAGUCUUGCCUUGGCCUUUUGCCCUCUCUCACACUUAUAUUUGGAAUACCAUGAUUAGAGGCAACUCUGAAGCCAAAAUGGGCCAUAGCGGCUUCUUGUUUUUCUGCCAAGUGGUUCAAAAUGGCGCUGAAAUGGACUGUAGGAGCUUUGUUCUUGCGCUCAAAGCGUGCGGCGAGCAGUUUUUUAGAGUUUUAGGAGGGAAAUCAGUUCAUUGUGGUAUUCGAAAGAUGGGUUUUGUUUAUGCUAUGUUGUUUCAAGAUGGGUUGGCUCGUUUUUAUGAUCUGCGUGGUUGUUUGGGUUUUGCUUGACACUUGUUUGAUGGAAUUCCUGCAAGAGAUGGACUUUCUGUCUAUGACUGAUGGGUAUUCUAAGCGUAACUGUUGGGAUGAGACCUGGAUUCUGCAAGAGGGAAUUUUUUUUUUUUUUGUUUAAUGUGGGUGUCCGGGCUAGCUUGCGCGUAUCUCGACUAAUCCCACGGGCCCUGAAGUUAACGACCAUGUAAGCCUCCAGUGGCCAUCAUAUGAGCAACCACAGGGCUUGAACCUGAGACCACAGAGGGAACAAACCUCUUGGUCCCAAACUCUUACAAUUAGGCCACCACCUAGAUGGUUAAGAGGGAUCUUUGAUACCAUGGGAGUUAGAGAUGUGUUCUCUUGGACGAACAAGGUUAAUGGGUAUGCUAAAAGCGGCGAGCUAGAGCUGGCUAGGAUAUUGUUUAAUGAGAUGCCGGAGAGGAAUGUGGUCAUAUAAUUAAUUCCAAAUUAUAAAAAUAAAAAUUUAAACACAUUUAAACACGAAGUACUUAAACACAUCAUAUAAUUCCGAAGUACUUAAACACAUUUAAACACAUCAUAUAAUUAAUUUCAAAUUUAAAAAUAAAAAUUAAUAAUAGAUCAUCAAGAAUUCUCAAAUAUUUAUCAAAACGAAAAAUUUUGUUUCUUGAAAUUCCAUGAUUGCUGCUUAUGCUUCUCAUGGGCACGCUAAGCAAGCUCUGAUCAUUUUUUAGCAAAUGAGAAGUGGUGGAUGUAAGCCAGAUGAUAUUACAUUUGUGGAUGUCUUGCCAGCUUGUCACGGUGGCUUAAUUAGUUGCUAGCUGAAGGUCGAGAAUAUUUUCAAAAUAUGAAAAGAAAUUAUUUGUAAAUGAAUCGUUAAGGUUUGAUAUGAUUUUCACUUAGAAUUUUUUUAAAUACAAAAAAGUAUUGAAAAAGUCUAUAUAUUAAUUUUUUUGUUGAGAAAAAAAAAUCUAAUCAGCAGUGAAACGUAGGUUAAAUAUCUAGUAUAAACUAAAAGAGGUGGUGCUUUUAUUGCGCACUACCAUGUAAAAUACUCUUCAUUUCAAUAAAAAAAAUUUGUCUUUUUUUUCUAAAUAUAUAUAUAUAUAUAUAUAUAUAUUUUCUAAUUUUAUACUUCAAUAUUUAAUUUAUCGGAGAUUAGGUUUUAUAAUUUAUUGUAGUUUGCUUUAUACAUGAUUAGCUCGAUCUUGUAACCCGUGUCACGGGUUUGGCAGGUUGACUCCAGUUUUAUUUAUCUUUUUUAAUUGACAAUUUUUUUUUCAAUUUCAUCAUUCAACAUUAGGUUGAUUGGGAAUCAGGUUUCAUGAUUUAUUUUGGUUUGCUUUAUAUAAGGUUAUCUCGGUCUCAUUACUUAAAUCGCGGGUUUGGCGGGUUAACCUAUUUAACUCGAGUUUUUAUUGACUUUUUUAUUGGAUUUUUUUCUAUUUUAUCCUUCAACAUUUAGUUGAUUAUGAAUUAGGUCUCAUGAAUUAUUUUGGUUUGCUUUCUAUGGGGUUAUCUCGGUCUUAUGCUCGGGUCACGUGUUUUGUCGGUUAACCCGGAUAAAUUCAUAUUGUUUUGUUGUAUCCUAUUUUUAAAUUUAAUUUUCUUCAUUUUCAACCUCUAACAAUGAGCUUAUUGAAAAUUAGGCUUUAUUAUUUUUUUUAUUUGCUUUUAACAGGGUUAUCACAGUCUUUUGACCUUGGUCGCGAGUUUGAUAAAUUAAUUCAGGUUGACUCAUGUUUUUUUUAUUUACUUUCUAUGAGAUUAUCUUGAUUUUUUUUCUAAUUUCAUACUUCAAUAUUAGUUUAUUGGAGAUUAGGAUUCAUAAUUUAUUGUGGUUUGAUUUAUACGUGGUUAGCUCGGACUUAUAACCCAUAUUCCAGGUUUGGCGGGUUAACUCGAGUUUGUUUUCUCUCUUUUAAUUGACCUUUUUUUUUCAAUGUAAUCAUUCAACAUCAAGUUGAUUGAGAAUUAGGCUUCAUGAUUUAUUUUGGUUUGUUUUUUAUGAGGUUCUCUCAGUCUCAUAACUCGAGUUGCGGGUUUGGCGAGUUGACCCGGUUGACUUGAGUUCUUUUUUAACUUUUUCAUUGGCAUUUUUUAUAUUUCAUGAUUCGGCAUUGGUUUGAUUGUGAAUUAGGCUUCAUGAUUUAAUUUUUUUGUUUUCUAUAAGGUUAUCCAGUCUUAUGCUCAGGUUAAGUGUUUUGCGGGUUAACCUCGGUAGACUCAAGUUGUUUCACUGUGUUCUAUUUUUCAAUUGAUUUUUUUUACAUUUUCAACAUUUAACAAUGAGUUUAUUAAAAAUUAGGCUUCAUAAUUUAUUUUGAUUUUCUUUUAAUGGGGUUAUCACAAUAUCAUGACCUUGAUCGCAUGUUCCACAUAUUAAUCCAUGUUAAAUCAAGUAAUUUUUUCAUUUACUUUUCACGAGGUUAUCUUGAUAUGAUGACCCGGAUCACAGGUUUAACAGGUUAACCUAGAUAUUUUUUUUAUUUUUAAUUAAUUAUUUUCAUUUACAUUCUUCAACAAUGAGUUGAUUGGAAAUUGAGCUUUGUAAUUUGUUUUGAUUUAUUUUUUAUGGGGUUAUCAUGGUUUUAUAAUCUAGGUCAUGGAUUUGACAGAUUAACCUGCGUUAGCCCGAAUCGAUUCAAUAUGUUAUCAUUCUAAUAUUAUUUAAAAAAAAAUGUUGUCUUGAAUUUUUGUUAUUCGAACAACGUUUUCACAGGUUGACUAGGGUUACUUAUGGAUCCAUUAGGUCGAUUAGGUCACAUCGGCUCAAUCUCCACACAGUUUUAAAAAAUAUUUACUUGAAAAAAUUAGCAAUGCCCAGAUGUUUCUUUUGUAUGCUAAAAAAAUUGAUCUGACCCGAGGCAUAGAUCAGGUUAACGAUCUAGUCUAUCAACAAAAACUAAUGGAGGGAAAUCAUUGUUCCUUUCCUUGAAUGCUACUAUUUAAGUGUUGCUCAUUGGAAAGAAGGUGGAUCGUGCCAUACCGAGUGUUAGACCAAAUUUUUUCCAACACUAAAAAAGGAUAUUCAUCUGAGACAACCAGGUUAAAUUAACUAAAACAUAGCCUAGGUUAUGAGAUCGAAAGAACUCGUAAAAAGAAAAUUAGAAAGUUCAAAGCCUAAUAACCUAAUGUCAAAGAUAAAAACUAAAAAAAAACAAAAAGAGCUUCAAAAAAUACAACGCCGAAGAAGAAAACUUGAGUCAGCUCAGGUAACUUGACAAACCAACAACCCAUGAUAUGAUUUUGGGAUAAAAAAGAGAAUUUCAAAAGGAUGACCUAGUAAAAAAACCAAAGUUUGAUGAAAAAAAAUGUCAAAAAAACUUGAGUCAAUCCUGGUUAACUUACCAAGCCACUAUCAGAAUAACCAUACAGUAAAAAAAGUUAAAACAUAAAAAAUUUCAAGGGCAAAUAAUUUAAUGUAAAAUGAUGCAAUUGAAAAAAAAAGUCAUAAAAAAAUUCAAGGGAAAAAAAUCCAAGUCAACCUGGGUUAACUUUACUAACCCAUCACACACGACAUGAGAUAUGGAUGGGAAAAAAAUUAGACCUCCAAAAAAGGGCCAGGCAAAAAAGACCUAAGUUAAAUAAAAACACAUUGUGAACAAAAAUACAAGUUGACCCUAGUUAACUUGAUCAACCCAUUCUUGAAAUAACAAAACAGAAAGAGAAUUAAAAAAAUAACAAAGCUUAGGGCAAAUAAUUUAACGAAAAAUAAAAAAAUAAAAAGAAUAAAAACAAAUUUAUAAAGAAAUUGGGGGGAAAACACCGAGUCAAUUCGGGUUACUUCGACUGACCCACCACUCUCGGCAUGAGAUCAAGAUAAAAAAAAUAGACUUCCCAAAGAAAGACCUAGUGAAAAAUACCGAAGUUAAAUAAAAAAAACAUUGAAUAAGAAAAUGCAUGCUAACCCGGGUUAACUUGAUUAACAUGUACUCGAGAUAACCCAAAAUAAAUAAAUAAAAUGAAAAAAUCACAUAGGUCAAGGACCAAUAAUUUAACAUCAAAGUAUAAAAUUGUUAAAAAAAAUAUAAAUUCAUAAAAAAAAUCAAGGAAAAAAAACAUGAGGUAAUUAUAGUUAACUCAAUAAAAAGAAAAGAGUAAAACUAUUAUCCAAAAUAUAAAAUUGAGAUAACUCAAUAAAAAGAAAAGAGUAAAAUUAUAAAGUUAUAAAGGGUUUAAUAACUAAAUAUCAAAGGAUAAAUUUUUUAAAAAAAUUUGAAUAAAGACCUGCCUUGUUGGGAGACAACUAUAAAAAAAAUAGAAAAGUAAAAUAUUCAAGAGGAUGAUCAUAGCAUUAACGGUGAAGCACUUCCAGAUAGAAGUCAAGAGUGAGUUAGAAGGUUUCAGCAGUUGCGUUUGAAGCUUAAGAUGGCCAAUAACUGGGCUGGUGUUUCAAGAUUCAGCCGUGUAAAUUGUGAAACUAAUUGUGAUUGGAUAGUAAUUGUCCGUCUAAUUAAUGCACUGAUUAUUGUUUUAAAAUAGAAAGUACAAAUAUAAAUAUAAAUAUAAAAGAACAAACAUGUUUCGGGUUAAUUAGUGAGAUAAAUACAAAAUACCGAUGGAAAAUAGUCCGUCGGUAAAUCCGUUGGUAGUUAGCGAAUUUCUGGUAGUGAAAAUAAAGGGGAAAAAACAUGAGGCAAUUAUGGUUAACUUGACUAACCUAUUACCCGAAAUAUGAGAUUGAGAUAACUUAAUAAAAAAAAAGAGUGAAACAAUGAAGUUAAGGGUUUAAUAACUAAAUGUUAAAAGAUAAAUUAAUAGCAUGUUGGGAGACAACUAUAAAAAAAAAAUAGCAAAAUAAAAUAUUCAAGAGGAUGAUCAUGGCAUUAACGGUGAAGCACUUCAAGAUGGAAGUCAAGAGGAAGCUAGAAAGUUUCAGCAGUUGCGUUUGAAGCUUAAGAUGGCCAAUAACUGGGCUGGUGUUUCAAGAUUCAGCCGUGUAAAUUGUGAAACUAAUUGUGAUUGGAUAGUAAUUGUCCAUCUAAUUAAUGCACUGAUUAUUGUUUUAAAAUAGAAAGUACAAAUAUAAAUAUAAAACGAACAAACAUGUUUCGGAUUACAAGAUAAGUAUGUUUUUUAAUUUUUUUGGUGUCUAAACUAUCUUAAUAGGAAACCUUUGGGAAAAAUUAAUAAAGAACAAGGAUAAGAAACCGCUGCCUGUCAAAAAGAAAUCGUAUAGCCUCGUCCGAGUAGAAACGUCAUUGCCCACAGCGCUGACGGUCUCGGUCGAUGGUACAGACGUGAUCCGGUGUGGCAAAUUUUUCAAACACAGACACCGAGCAUUUCAAAUCAGUGGAACUCGAAAUCCAAAAGCGAUUACUCGAUGCAUGCUGCAGAGAUCGAGCGUAAUUCUAGAGAUUAUAUUAUAAAAAAUAUAGUGUGGACCCAGAAUUGAAAAUGACUUCAAAUUUUGGACAGGCAUGGAAGGAUUUGCCCUUCAACAACAUCGUGCACCUUGUUGCUUAUUCGAACAAAAACCUCGCAGAAAUCUCAAGAAAAUGCAGGAUGUAGCUCUCCCUCUCUGCGGACCUUAUUGAUGAAACUUUGGGCGGACUUAGAGCACAUGCCUGCAAGAUCAAGAACCAGCUUUAUCUAAAAUCACAAGAGCCAAUAAUAAUGGUAAAAUACAAUUAACUGGUAACAAAUCUUAUGCAAUGUAUUUUCAUAUUUAAGUUACACACUGUAAAAAUAACUCCAUAAACAUGUAAUUAAUUUAUUUAUUUUUGUUAAUGCUCAAUAUUAUACUGAUCCUAGAUAAUUGAAGUGAGGAGUGAAAGCCUCGUCUCUUAAGAGGGGACAUUAUCCCAAGUUCAUGACCCAGACUUAAAAUGAAUAGGAAUAUCCUAGAUAAAAUUAUAAAUGAAACCUUUUAAAAUAUAAUUUUUAAGAAAUAUAUUUUAAUUUAUUAUUAUUCAUGUAUGUCUAGUAAUAAAAAGAAUAAUUUUCAUUUCAUAAAAUAUAAUUGAAAAAUAAACCUUGUCCUUAUUUAUUCUUGUAGUUUUUUUUAUUAAAUGGGGUCCUGGGUCAUUGCCCAUGUUGCCCAAAAUGCUCUAGCUCACUAAACACUUAGACAAGCAUGCAAGAUCUUCAGCAAGUGUUUGGUUUUCGCAAGUUAGAACGAACGAGGUGCUCGAGAGGCAAUACGAGCGUACCUCCCGACUCAUUUAGUCUUUGAAAAAGCGUAGUCAUAAGCCUGCGUUUCUCUUGUUCUAUUUACAAAUAAUCCAUCAAGAUUUAAAUAACGCCAUGCGAAAUCGAUCAAAUGAACAAGAUUUCCGAAAUCUCUCGCUCGAUGUCUUUCUACCGUGAAUACAGUAGCUAGCUAGUUGUGAUUUAUUAUAAAUCACAAGCUCACUGCAAGAAACUAUCAAUCCAGCAGAUAGCUUAAACGCAACCAUUUCUCUCUAUUUUCACGACCCUGGAGAAAAAAAUGCAGAUCUUCAGCAAAGAGUUGACAGAUACUGAUGUUCGUUUUCGGUUAUCGUUCCCAACUCAUUGCUUGCAGCAUCUAGAUUUUGCUGGAAAUAAUCUUGUUGAUUUGCAUGUUAAAGAUAGCUAUGGUGAGCUUCGAGUUAUUCGUUGCCUGAAGAGAGAUGGAGAUUAUGACAAGCCAGUGCUUUCUAAGGGCUGGCGUAAAUUUGUUGCUUAUUAUGGACUGAGAGUUGGUGACAAGGUUGUUCUUCAUCGUGAGGAUGACCAUAACCUGGGGUCACAGUUCAGGAUUGAAGCUAAAAGGAGUAUCAUGCUGUUUGGUGAGGAGGCUUGGGGUGAUGUGACAAGAGCUAACUAGCUUUUAUUUGCAUGGAGCUUGCAUGUUCAGCCAUAUCCAGAUAUAUCUAUAUAUAUAUAUAUAUAUAUAUAUAUAUAUAUAGAAGAAUGAUAUGUAUUUGUUUGAAAACAACACAAUAAAUAUGUUGUUGUUCUUCGUUUCUUGAAUAUAUAUUGAAUUAUAUGUGAUCAGAUUCCGUCUCUAAUAGUUUGAGUUAUAUACUAUACAUGUGCUGAUCACAAAUUACGUUUAUUUCUGGCAAUUUUCAUGACAACCACUCACCAAGACUGUCUAAUUUGCUCCGUUAAGUCUAGAAUAGUCGGUAUAUCUCGUUUCAGUUUAAAAAAUAUAAUAAAGCAGAACAGAUUUCUUCUUACUUAUAAUCUCAGUUCAUUCCAUAAACUCCAACCAAAUUUUGGCUGGGACUACUUUCCUGUUCCGUUUUAGACAAAUAAUUUUGUUUUUGAUUCUUUUAAAAAAUAUUGUUUAACUUUACGGUAUUAAUCAUAUUUGUCAAUCUAAAUAUUGGAUCAAGUUGAAAUUUUACUAGAAGUCUCAUGAUAUAUUGUUAUAUCUCAGGUUAAAAAUUUAAGACAAUCAAGGUUUACAAAGACCUUGCAUGAUUGUCGAUGAUAUUUUCUUAAUUUUAUUUUAAAACAUCAUCUUUUUGUGUGUUUUUUUAUAUUAAUAUUUUUUUUCAAUUUCAUUAUUUAACAAUAGGUUUAUUGAGAAUUAAAUUUUAUAAUUUGUUUUGAUUUAUUUUAUUUAGGGUUAUUAUGAUCUCAUAACCCAGAUCAUGGAUUUAUAAAGUUAACCAGAGUUGAUUCAAUAUGUUGUCGUUUCAAUAUUUUUUAAAAAUAUAUGUUAUUUUUUUUCAAUAUAAACUAUAUUUUUACUAAUUGUUCAAGUUGUUUUUGGACUCAUCAAAUUGAUUGAGUCAUACCGGUUUAACUUCUACUCUUUUUUACUAGUAUUUAAAAUUUGAAUUGCUUAAUUUAAAUUUAAGUUACUUUGAAUUUAAGAUGAAAUCAUUUUCAUUAAAUUAAUAUUUUGAAUUAUACAUAUAAAUAGCACAACCCUACAAACAAUAUAUUCAAACUUUUUCAAUUGAAAAAACAGAACGCUAAUCUAAACGGAUUUGUUAAUUUAAACAAAGCAAUUGUAACAUGGACUCCACCAUUAGCCUGUGAACUCAAGAUUCCAACUUCCCCUUUCCUUCCUAGUUUAUGUGAAGUUUGAUUGGUUUUGUGAUGUCUCAAGAGGAAGUUUUUUUUUUUUUUUUUUUGUAAAGAAGUUUGAAGCAAGCAAGCAACCAUCAAGAAACUAGCUCAGUAUUGAAUUGAAACAUGUCUAGUCCUUCAAAAUUCACAGAAUGUAAUGGGAAUAGUGAGAGUAAUUCAAUGAAGAAGCACUGAAACCAUAUCAUACAUAAUUGAGAAGAGAAACUUACUUCUUUCCUCCCCCUGGUUUGAUAAGCCCAGAUGGAAAGAUUCACAAAAGGCAUCAAAAUUGGCCCAAACCUGGAGCAAAACGCAAAGAAAGUUGGUUGCUAUACAAAACUCCUGCUUAGGAACUUGAAGAAAGAAAGCGAUUUGGCAUCGCUGCAGCAGCUAGAGAGAUCUUAAAGGAGAUGCUUAGCUUACCUCUUUAAAUGUAUCAAAAACAAGAACACCCAAUAUUCCAAGCCUGGUUCACAUCCAAGAUAUUGAAGAGGUCAAUGCUUCGGUCAAUGCAGACGAGAGUGUUGAGGUCAACAGCCAAGUCUCCAUGAUUUGCUUAUUAAUUGGAUCCUCAAAAACAAAGAGCAAAUACCAUGAGAAUAUUCGAAAGAAAUAAUUGAAGGAGCUUAAGCAAAGAUGCCAUUCAUAUAUAUUAAGAGAUUAGGUAAAAAGAAUGGGGAACUACCAGGAACGUAGGACGAGAUUGCGUUUGAAGGAAAAGAAGCGGUAUUAUUUUGACUCACAAUCUUGGAACAAGUACAAAUAAGUCCUUCUCCUUUAUAGUCUGGCCAAUCUACCCCCAAGCUUUGUCUUGCCUUGGCCUUUUGCCCUCUCUCACACUGCAGAUAUAAAUCAUGCUCGUCUUCUGUUUUCGCAGAUACAAAACCCCAGUACUUAUAUUUGGAAUACCAUGAUUAGAGGCUACUCUGAAGCCAAAAUGGGCCAUAGCGGCUUCUUGUUUUUCUGCCAAAUGCUUCAAAAUGGCGCUGAAAUGCACUGUAGGAGCUUUGUUCUUGCGCUCAAAGCGCAGUUUUUGAGAGUUUUAGGAGGGAAAUCAGUUCAUUGUGGUAUUCGAAAGAUGGGUUUUGUUUAUGCUAUGUUGUUUCAAGAUGGGUUGGCUCGUUUUUAUGAUCUGCGUGGUUGUUUGGGUUUUGCUUGACACUUGUUUGAUGGAAUUCCUGCUAGAGAUGGAUUUUCUGUCUAUGACUGAUGGGUAUUCUAAGCGUAACUGUUGGGAUGAGACCUGGAAGCUUUUUUACUCGAUGUCAGUGGAGGGUAAUGUAGAGCCAGAAGAGGUCACUAUGAUAGCCGCUCGUUCAGCUUGCUCGCAGAAGGGGGGUUUGAGAUCAGGGAAGAGUUUUCACGAAUAUGUAAAACUAGAAAUGCAAGUGACCAUGAAUGUGAAAUGUGGCUGCUUGGAUUCUGCAAGAGGGAUCUUUGAUACCAUGGGAGUUAGAGAUGUGUUCUCUUGGACGAGCAUGGUUAAUGGGUAUGCUAAAAGCGGUGAGCUAGAGCUGGCAAGGAUGUCGUUUAAUGAGAUGCCGGAGAGGAAUGUGGUUUCCUGGAGUGCCAUGAUUGCUGGGAAACCACCCAAAGGAAGCUUUAGAAUGGUUUGUUACAUGCUGGAGGCUGCGUUUGUUCCAAUGGAGAACAUUAGUUCGUGUGCUCUCUGCUUGUGGUCAAUUGGAUUGCUUGGAAUUUGGUCAGUGAAUCCAUUGAAAUUACAUUAUCGUUACAAAACACAACGAAUCAGUGUGAUCAUAGCAAACGCGUUCAUUGACAUGUAUUGCUAAAUGUGGGGUCAUACAUGAAGCUGAAAAUAGGGAGUGUCAGCGUUUGGAGUCAUCAAAACCUGAAGGAGAGAGGAAUUUAUCUAUUUUUUAUUCUGCUGAGAGAAGGGUGUGGCAGUUAGAGAAGAAUGAGAAUUUUACUGUUAAAUCAGCUUGUGCUCUCACCGAUGAUAUUCAGCAUCCAGGAUCUGAGAAUUUUGAUAAUUUACUGUAGCAAGUAUAUUUCCUCCUAAAAAAUUGCGAUGUUUUUGUGGUUGUUGUUACAAGGUAGUCUGAGUUCCAGAAAAUUUCUUGCCUAUAGAAGAAUUAUUAGUUAUGAUUAUGCAAUGGAUUGAGUGUGAUGGGUGUAUGCUGAAGACUAUUCAGCUUUCCUUGCAGGAAUGAAAUCAUUUGUCAAAUGGAAAAUUUCAGUGCAAAGUCAUCUAUAUACUUUGUUGUGAUAUCUUAUAGUCUAUUAAGCCUAUUAUUGCUGCUUUGAAAAGCGCGAAGAAGAAAGUUGGUUGCUAUACAAAACUCCUGCUAAGAAACUAGAAGAAAGAAAGCGAUUUGCUGCACCUCAUGAUGUAUCAAAAACAAGAACACCCAACAUAGUUCCAUUCAUUUCAAUGAAAUGAAUGCUCGAAUUCCAAGCACAUAAACUUGUAAUUGUAAAGGCCAAUGCUUAAGUACCCGAUAAAAAUGAAGCAAACUCAUCAAACAAAUCCCUAGUGAUUCUGAAAAAAGGGUUAAAACAUGUACAAUUUUUUUUUAAUUUAUAUAUUUUAUGAAUAUGUUUUUUUUCUCUUCUCAGCUUCACUCACAACUACACUAAGAUAAGAUUUUUCUUUGUUCUUCUUUUUUUUUACUUUUUUUCAUUAUAUUUGUUUUUUUAUAAAUUUUUAUGUUCUUAAUAAUUGUAUGAAUGUUUUUGUAGGAUUUUUUUUUUUCAUAUGAGGUCAAUGUUGUUGUUGUUUUAUUUUUAGUUGAUUUUCUUCUCUUUUUUUUCCAAGCAACUCAAUUCCGAGUAUUAUGGAGUGUUAAAUUAUAUUAAUUUAAUUAUUUUCUAGUUUUGUUAAAUAGAUUUUUUUAAAAAAAUAUUUUUAAAUAAUCACCGACAGAAUUGUAUAUGGUAUUUUUUUAUUAUAUAACAAUUUUCCCAGGGGAAAUACCGACAGAAUGAAGCGGGUAUUUUUUUUACGCGCAUCUUUCGUCUGUAAAACCAUCUGGUUUUUUUUUUACCGACAGAAUUAACGACAGAUGAUGGAAUUACCGAUGAACAUUAUUCCGACGGACGUAUUCCAUCGGCGAAUUAGUCGGUAAAAUUUUCACCAACGGAAAGGUAAUCUCACGCCGAUGGAAAAAUUCCGUUGAUAAAACUGUUAAAUGUUGUAGUGUAGUAUAAUUAUGAGAUUCCUAUUAUAUCAAAGCAUUGUUCCUAAAAUGUUCCUAGUUGAUGCUCUCUUAAAUACUAGACAUUUAUUAGAGCAAUUGAGACUGAUACAUAUUAUAUUCUUUCUUUUAUGAAAUGAAGCAGCUGUUAUAAGACAUGUACACUAAACUGACCCGCGUGAGAAUUUCAUAUGGAAAGAUCACCAAUGUCUAUGGAAAGGCUCACAUGAUGGUUGUGUAAGUGAUCUUUAAACUUAAUAUCACUAAGUUAUCUUAAAUAAAUAAUGUUCUGCUUUGAUUCGUUACAUGUUAUCUUAAUCGAGGUAAUAAAAGGGUAGACAUUGAGUAUACAUUGAACUAUAUGAAAGUAUUUGAGUGAUCAAGGGAGGAUUCAUUACCCUAUGUGAAUUAGAGAAAAUAUUUCAUAUGUUCUCAAAUAGUAUUGACUGAGAAAUCCUUGGCCAAGAUGGAAUAAGAUUUGAAAAGAGUUUUAAAUCUUAUUCCAAUGAUCAAUGACUAUUAUAUAGAGAACAAACAUGAUUUUAUAUGGCAGACAUACUUCAUGCUUUAAUGUUAAAUCAGAACAUUAUUGAUGAAAGGAUAUUAAUUACACUGAAAAACUAGUCACUCAAAGGUUAAGUCAAACCACUAAUGACUUCUCUAAUAUUUAGGGAAUCAUGACACGUUGUUAGACAAUGCACCUGAUCUUUAAAUAUAAAUUAAUCAAUUGUUUAAUUGAUAAUAAAUUAAAUUGUUUAAUUUAUUUAAUUAGAAUUAUAAUUUAUAUUUGGGCCAACAUAUUAGGAACUUAAUGGGUCACACACAUUAAGAACCACUAGUCAUAAAUUAAACUAGGAUAAUUUAAUUAGGUAUAACUUGAUUAAAAUAUAUUUUAGAAAUUAAGGGCUAGAAUACAAUUAAUACAAAUAUUAUAUUUCUAGACCUAGAAAAAUCAAGAAAGGACUCGAUUAAGUUAAUAUGUAAAAUUAUCCUGAAUUAAAAUAUAGAUAUUAUUCAAGGGGCAAAUUGAAAUGUCUUCUAAUUUAUAGGAUUUUUUAAAUUUUUCUAUAAAUAGUAAGCUAUGCUUCUUAAUUAAUGCUUCUUAAUGUUUCAGUUUCAUCCUCAACAUUUACUCAAUUGGAGACCGGGGUAUGUUAUUUUUAUUUAUUUUCUUUCUAUUGAUAUUUUCAUUGAUUUUUAAAAUAACUCAAUUUAUCUCAGGUCUUUUUAUUUGUCUUUCUUUGUUGAAUUUUCUUUAGCUAGUUUUCUAAAUUGAUUUUUUUGUCUAGUUAUAUCAUUCAAUAUUAAAUUAGUUAGGAAUUAAGCUUAUUUAUAUUGCCCGGGUGUAGGAUUAGAAAGUUUGUUAUUUAGCCAUAGGUUUCAAGUUUAAGACAUUAGCCCAGGUUUAGAAAGUUCAUCUAAAUAUUAUUAGUGAUUAGGCUCUUUUCUAUUUUUAUAUGCUUUCUAUAUGAAUCUUUGUGUAAACCCCCAUAAAUAAAAAUAAAAUAAAAUAAAAUAAAACAUAGGAUCAAAGUAAUGAGGUUUUGAUGAGUAAUGGAGAUUUGGUAUGAAAGAAAUGAAUAAAUAGUAGGAAAGAUAAUAAAUGUGUCAUGUAAGAGAGAUAAUCUCCAUAGAUAAAUUUAAAGGUAUUAUUGAAAUCAAAAUGAGGGUUAUGAUUUUUAGUUUAAAACUCGUAACGUUGGCGAAACCCGUGACGAGAUGGAUAAAAAAAUAAAAAAAAUGAGAAGAUAUGUAAACCCCCGUCAAAAAACUUAUUUUGACAAAUUAGUGAUAAAUGUCACACCCGACAUCGCGGCGGCCUUAAAAAUGGUUCUCAAAUUAUGGAAAAAAUAAAGAAUAGAUUUCUAGCAUCUAGUUCUUUUAGGGGAAAAAGGUCUUGUUUAAAGAGUCGCCACCUAGUAUUAUGGUCACUAGGAACCCUAACUGGUCAAUAGAGAUUCUAUGGUACGGGAUUGGUUACGUAAAAGGGAAGAUAUUAUCACCCCUUAAACGUUCUGCCUGAGGCAGACUGCAUUAAUGGUUUUUUCUUAAAGUGCUAAAUUUUUAUUGGUUUAUGCUCUGAUGGUUUAUUCGAAUAUUCCUGACUCUGACACUAGUGAAUAUUCAACUACAGAUAAUUCCAACUAUGACGUUGGUAAAUAUUACGUAGCUGUAAAAUAAAUUAGAUCAAUAUUUUUUAUUCCCUUCUCUAGCGCUAGUGAAUAAAUAAAUAAAAAUAAAUUUAUUUUUAAGCAUGCACAUAUUUUUAGUUUUCUAGCUAAAUAAAAUAAAAUACAACGAAUAAAAAUAAUAUAAAUUUAGACCGGUAUUUUUAUUCCUGACUCUGGCGUCAGUGAAUAAACUAAUAAAUUUAUAUUAUUUUUAUUCAUGCAUAUACAUUUUUUAUUUAUUUUUUAUUUUUUCUACUUUUUUUAUUUUUUCGUUUUUUUUGUUUUUUCUAUAUUUUGAGGGCUGGGCUCGGCCUGGCCCAGCCCAGCCGGUCACUGGCCCAAGCCAGUGACCGGUUGGGUGCAUAAAGCACGCGUGAAUUAAAAUGCAAGGAGGGAAAGAGCAACUUACAUGGCGCUGCACUUGAAGAUGAGUAUGACGGGGAUGGAGGACUGGCCGGCUGAUGCUAUUUUCUCCUCCUCUUUUUUUCUUGGUGUUCCUCUGUUUGCGGCUUCGUCCUCCUGUGUUCCCUUCGUGUUCUGGGUUCUGAAGACCAGGGCGAAUCUGGGUGCGCUGGCUUUUUCUCCGGUUGCUUCUCCCCAGUUUGUGCCCUGUUUGCGUCUUCGUCCUCAUGUGUUCCCUUUGUGUUCUUCGUUUUCGUCUCCUUUUGUUUGCGUCUGUUUGCCCUAUAGAGGGCAGUGGCCCCCCUUUUCCUCCGUGGCCUUCUCUGGCUUUUAUAAAGCUGGAGGACGGCCUCUGUUUCUUUGAGCAGAAACAGGGGAACCGAAGUCUGCCCUUUUUAUCUCUUCACUAAUCCCCUCGGUUUUUGCCCCUGCUCAGGACAAAGGAGAUGGUAAUAAAAGCAUGACGUUCUGCAGGUUGAACGUGAGCUCCCUCUGGUUUCUCUCUUUUCUUUUUUUUUAGUUUCUUCUUCCUCUGUUUUCUUCUUCCUAUCCUCGGUUCUGCCCCAGUUUUUUCUUUUUCUCCCGUUCGUCGCUUUCUCCUUGCCCCUUGCGCUCUCUCAUCUUCUCUGGCUUUAUAGCAAGAGAAUGCCAAGCACUUUGAAACGGCUUCCACCCUUUACUCCAGCAACGGCUCCUGCGAAUAAGAUGAACAGCGCUCCUUCAAACGACGCCGUUUUGGGAUAUGAGGUGGAUAUUUUCGUCUUGACCCGUGAAAUUUCGAAACUGUUGUAAUUAAGCCCCUGGUUUGAACUGUAAUUUCCCCUGCAUUUCGGUGCCAUUUACAAGUUAGUCCUUGGACUUUAAUCUGUUGCCAUCGUGCCCCCAAUUAACCCCAAACUUUGCUAUUUCUUCAAUUAAGUCCCUGAUUAAUUUAAUUAAAUCUAAGUCUAAUUAAGUCUAAAACUUAUCAAUUCUCUAAUUAAGCCCUUGAUUGAUUAAUUAAAUUAAUUCCAAGCUCAAUUAAGUCUCAAAACUUAUCAAUUAUCCAAUUGAACCCUUGAUUGAAUUAAUUAAAUUAAUUCCAAGCUCAAUUAAGUCUCAAAACUUAACAAUUCUCCAAUUAAACCCUUAAUUGGAUUAAUUAAAUUAAUUCCAAGCUUAAUUAGAUUAAUUCCAAAGUUUAAUUAAACCCCAAAACUUCCAAUCAUUGCCCUUAAACCAAAUUUUAAUUCAUUCUUCAUUUAUUUUAUUUUACUUGUUUUUUUUUCAUCAUUAUUAUUUUUUUAUCAUCAUUUUUUUUUAUCCUUUUCAAUAAAUAAAAUAUUAUUAAAAUAAAAUGGUCAAUAUCAAGAAACAACAUUUUCUAAAAUCACAAGUGCCAAAAAUAAUGGGAAGGAUGGGCUAGGUAAAAUACAAUUAACUGAUAACAAACCUUAUUUAUAUAUUCUUGUAGUUUUUUUAUUAAAUGGGGUCCUUGGCCAUUGCCCAUGUUGCCCAAAAUGCUCUAGCUCACUAAACACUUAGACAAGCAUGCAAGAUCUUCAGCAAGUGUUUGGUUUUCGCAAGUUAGAACGAACGAGGUGCUCGAGAGGCAAUACGAGCGUACCUCCCGACUCAUUUAGUCUUUGAAAAAGCGUAGUCAUAAGCCUGCGUUUCUCUUGUUCUAUCUACAAAUAAUCCAUCAAGAUUUAAAUAACGCCAUGCGAAAUCGAUCAAAUGAACAAGAUUUCCGAAAUCUCUCGCUCGAUGUCUUUCUACCGUGAAUACACUAGCUAGCUAGUAUAAAUUAACAAGGUCCUUGAAAGAAACCAUAUCAAUCCAGCAGAUAGCUUAAACAUAACCAUUUCUCUCUUUUUUCACGACCCUUGAGAAAAAAAUGCAGAUCUUCAGCAAAGUGUUGAGAGAUACUGAUGUCCAUGUUCGGUUCUCGUUCCCAACUCAUUGCUUAGAGCAUUUAGAUUUUGCUGGAAAUAAUUAUGUUGAUUUGUAUGUUAAAGAUAGCUGUGGUGAGCUUCGAGUUAUUCGUUGCCUGAAGAGAAAUGGAGUUUAUGACAAGCCAGUGCUUUCUAUGGGCUGGCUUAAAUUUGUUGCUGAUUAUGGACUGAGAGUUGGUGACAAGGUUGUUCUUCAUCGUGAGGAUGACCAUAACCUGGGGUCACAGUUCAUGAUUGAAGCUAAGAGGAGAAUCAUGCUGCUUGGUGAGGAGGCUUGGGGUGAUGUGACAAGAGCUAACUAGCUAUUAUUUGGAUGUUCGGCCAUAUCCAGAUAUAUAUAGAAGAAUGAAUUUAUGUAUGUGUUUAUGUUUGAGUGUUCGUAGUGAUCAUAAUCAAUGUCAUCUGCGUCAGUCUAAUUAAAUAAAUAUGUUGCUGUUCUUGGUUUCUUGAAAAUGUAUUACGUGCAUGUAAUUCUCAGCAAUAAUGGAUUUAAUUAAUUAUAUAUGAUCAGAUUCUGUCUCUAAUAGUAUGAGUUAUAUAGUAUAUAUGUACUGAUCUCAAAUUCCGUUUCCAGGAGUUUUUUUUUUUUUUUUCCUUCAAGUUUUUACAUUUCCAGGUUUUUCAAUUUUGUUGGUUUAAAUCAUGGGAAAUUCAUUGGUGAUGCUAAGAAACAAAGAUCGUUGUUUCAAAUCCUAUGUUGUCAACUCUUUCUAUUUUAUUUGGAAUGAGUUAUAUAUUUCAUUUCAGUUUAAAAAAUAAAAAAAACUAAGAACGGAUUUUAUCUUGCUUAAAAAAAUAUUAUCUAGUUUUACCAUAUCAAUUAUAUUUCUCGAUCCAACUAUUGAAUCAGGCUGAAAUUAUAUGAGUCUCCAGAUAUAUUGUGAUAUUUCAAGUUAAAAGUUUAGAAAUGCCUUGCAACAUUUUCUGAAUUUUGUUUCUAAAAGUUAUUUUUUUAUGUUUUUUUCAAUUUUAUCAUUUAACAAUAGGUUUAUUAAAACUUAAACUGCAUAAUUUGUUUUGAUUUAUUUUAUUUAUCAUGCAUUUGAAAAGUUAAUUUUUAUUUUUAUUUUUUGCUAUUUUGUGCGCUUUUCAAGUGUCUGAAAAUGAAGAUUUCCAUUGAUUUAAAACCAUAGAGACUCCAUAUAUAUAGUUUUUGAAAUCAUGGGAACUAACUCAUUGGUGAUGCUAAGAAACAAAGAUCGAUGGAUUCAAAUACUAUGGUGUCAAUAUUGAGAUAUAAUCCUAUCGUAACAACAUAUCAUUUAUAAAAUUAUAUUUUCCAAUCUAAUUAUUAGAUUAUGCUAAAAUUUUAUAACAAAUCUCCUAACAUAUUAUGAUACCUCAUGUUAAAAGUUUAGAAAGGCUUGCAAAACUGUCAAUUGCAUUUAUAAUUUUGUUUUGAAAGUUUAUCCUUUUAUCUUUCUUUUUUUUUAGAUUUGAUUAUUUUUCAAUUUUUUAUUUAACAAUAAGUUUAUUAAAAAUUGAGCUAUAUAAUAUUUUUAAUCAAAUUAUAUUUUUAUUAGUUGUAUAAAUUAUGUGCUUUAAAUUAAUAUUUUAAAUUAUAAACAGUUUGGAACGAUAUGUGAAAACGCUAUGAAACUAAAACAUGAAAAAACAGAACACUAACUGGAACGGAUUUGUUUAAACAGAGCAAUUGUAACAUGGACUCCACCAUUAGCCUGUGAACUCAAGAUUCCAACUUCCCCUUUCCUUCCUAGUUUAUGUGAAGUUUGCUUACUCAUUCACAUCAGAGGACAGUUUUCUUUUCUUUAUUUUUCUUUUGUAAAGAAGUUUGAAGCAUCAGGAAACUAGCUCAGUAUUGAAUUGAAACAUGUCUAGUCCUUUAAAAUUCACAGAACGUAACAGGGAUAGUGAGAGUAAUUCAAUAAAGAAGCACUCAAACCAUAUCAUACAUAACUGAGAAGAGAAACUUACUUCGUUCCUCCUCCUCUUUUGAUAAGCCCAGAUGGAGGGAUUCACAGAAGGCAUCAAAAUUGCCCCAAACCUGUAGCAAAACGCAAAGUUGGUUGGCAUACAAUACUCCUGCUAAGGAACUUGAAGAAAGAAAGCGAUUUGGCAUCGCUGCAGCAGCUAGAGAGAUCUUGAAAGAGAUGCUUAGCCUACCUCUUUACAUGUAUCAAAAACAAGAACACCCAAUAUUCCAAUUCUGGUUCACAUCCAAGAUAUUGAAGAGGUCAAUGCUGCGGUCAAUGCAGACGAGAGUGUUGAGGUCAACAGCCAAGUCUCCAUGAUUUGCUUCCUAAUUGGAUCCUCAAAAACAAAGAGCAAAUACCAUGAGAAUAUUCGAAAGCAAUAAUUGAAGGGGCUUAAGCAAAGAUGCCGUUCAUAUAUAUUAAGAGAUUAGGUAAAAAGAAUGGGGAACUACCUGGAACGUAGGACGAGAUUGCGUUUGAAGGAAAAGAAGCGGUAUUAUUUUGACUCACAAUCUUGGAACAAGUACAAAUAAGUCCUUCUCCUUUAUAGUCUGGCUAAUCUACCCCCAAGCUUUGUCUUGCCUUGGCCUUUUGCCCUCUCUCACACUGCAGCUAUAAAUCAUGCUCGUCUUCUGUUUUCGCAGAUACAAAACCCCAGUACUUAUAUUUGGAAUACCAUGAUUAGAGGCUACUCUGAAGCCAAAAUGGGCCAUAGUGGCUUCUUGUUUUUCUGCCAAAUGCUUCAGAAUGGCGCUGAAAUGGACUGUAGGAGCUUUGUUCUUGCGCUCAAAGCGUGCGAGCAGUUUUUGAGAGUUUUAGGAGGGAAAUCAGUUCAUUGUGGUAUUCGAAAGAUGGGUUUUGUUUAUGCUAUGUUGUUUCAAGAUGGGUUGGCUCGUUUUUAUGAUCUGCUGCGUGGUUGUUUGGGUUUUGCUUGACACUUGUUUGAUGGAAUUCCUGCUAGAGAUGGACUUUCUGUCUAUGACUGAUGGAUAUUCUAAGCGUAACUGUUGGGAUGAGACUUCGAAGCUUUUUGACUCGAUGUCAGUGGAGGGCAAUGUAGAGCCCGAAGAGGUCACUAUGAUAGCCGCUCGUUCAGCUUGCUCGCAGAAGGGGGGUUUGAGAUCAGGGAAGAGUUUUCACGAAUAUGUAAGACUAGAAAUGGAAAUCACCAUGAAUGUGAAACGUGGCUGCUUGGAUUCUGCAAGAGGGAUCUUAGAUACCAUUGACCGUUUAUUGUUUUUUUUCACUUAUUAAGACUUACAGUUCUUUUCUAUUAUAUGUAUGUAUAUUUUUAUUUUUUUUCACUUGAAAUUUUUUUAAAUACAAAAAAAUAUUGAAAAAGUCUAUAUAUAAUUUUUUUUGUUAUAUCCAGUAUAAACUAAAAGAGGUGGUGCUUUUAUUGUGCACUACCUUGUAAAAUACUAUUCAUUUCAAUAGUAUUUUUUUGUCUUUUGUUUUCUAAAUAUAUAUUUUUUUUUAAUUUUAUAUUUUAAUAUUUUGUUUAUUGAAAAUUAGGUUUUAUAAUUUAUUGUGGUUUGCUUUAUACGUGGUUAGCUCGAUCUUGUAACCCGUGUCACAGGUUUGGCGGGUUGACUCUAGUUUUAUUUUUCUUUUUUAAUUGAUAAUUUUUUUUCAAUUUCAUCAUUCAACAUUAGGUUGAUUGGAAAUUAGGUUUCAUGAUUUAUUUUGGUUUGCUUGAUAUAAGAUUAUCUCGGUCUCAUUACUUGAGUCGCGGGUUUGGCGGGUUAACCUAGUUAAUUCGAGUUUUUAUUAACUUUUUAUAUUGGAAUUUUUUAUAUUUCAUCCUUCAACAUUUAGUUGAUUAUGAAUUAGGCCUCAUGAAUUAUUUUGGUUUGCUUUCUAUGGGGUUAUCUUGGUCUUAUACUCGGGUCACGUGUUUCGUGGGUUAACCCGGAUAAACUCUUCUUGUUUUGUUGUAUCCUAUUUUUAAAUUUAAUUUUCUUUAUUUUCAACCUUUAACAAUGACAUUAUUGAAAAUUAGGCUUCAUAAUUUUUUUAUUUGCUUUUAACAGAGUUAUCACAGUCUCAUGACCUUGGUCGCGAGUUUGACAGAUUAAUUCAGGUUGACUCAGGUCUUUUUUUUAUUUACUUUCUAUGAGAUUAUCCUGAAUUUUUUUUUUCUAAUUUCAUACUUCAAUACUUAGUUUAUUGGAGAUUAGGAUUCAUAAUUUAUUGUGAUUUGCUUUAUACGUGGUUAGCUCGGACUUAUAACCCGUGUUGCAGGUUUGGCGGGUUACCUCGAGUUUGUUUUCUCUCUUUUUAAUUGACCCCUUUUUUUUCAAUUUAAUCAUUCAACAUCAAGUUGACUGGGAAUUAGACUUCAUGAUUUAUUUUGGUUUGUUUUUUAUGAGGUUCUCUUGGCCUCAUGACUCGAGUCGCGGGUUUGGCGAGUUAACCCUGCUGACUUGAGUUUUUUUUUUUUAACUUUUUGAUUGGCAUUUUUUAUAUUUCAUGAUUCGGCAUUGGUUUGAUUGUGAAUUAGGCUUCAUGAUUUAUUUUGUUUUGCUUUCUAUGAGGUUAUCCAGUCUUAUGCUCGAGUCACGUGUUUUGCGGGUUAACCCAGGUAGACUCAAGUUGUUUCACCGUGUUCUAUUUUUAAAUUGAUUUUUUUUUCAUUUUCAACCUUUAAUAAUGAGUUUAUUAAAAAUUAAGCAUCAUAAUUUAUUUUGAUUUUCUUUUAAUAGGGUUAUCACAAUAUCAUGACCUUCGUCGCAGGUUCGACAUAUUAAUCCGGGUUAAAUCAAGUAAUUUUUUUGUCUACUUUUCAUGAGGUUAUCUUGAUAUGAUGACCCGAAUCACAGGUUUGGCAGGUUAACCUAGAUAAUUUUUUAUUGUUUUUUAAUUAAUUGUUUUCAUUUACAUUCUUCAACAAUGAGUUGAUUGGGAAUUGAGCUUUGUAAUUUGUUUUGAUUUAAUUUUUAUAGAGUUAUCAUGGUCUUAUAAUCUAGGUCGUCGAUUUGACAGAUUAACAUGUGUUAGCCCGAAUCGAUUCAAUAUGUUUUCAUUCUAAUAUUAUUUUAAAAAAAAAAGAUGUUGCCUUGAAUUUUUGUUAAUCAAACAAUGUUUUUACAAGUUGUCUUGGGUUACUUAUAUCCGUCAGGUCGAUCAGGUCACAUCGGCUCAACCUCCACGCGGUUUUAAAAAAUAUUUACUUGAAAAAUAUUAGCAAUGUCUGGAUGUUUCUUUUGUUUGCUAAAAAAAUUGAUCUGACUUGAGGCGUAAAGCAGGUCAACGAUCUAGUCUAUCAACAAAAACUAAUGGAGGGAAAUCAUUGUUCCUCUCCUUGAACGCUACUAUUUAAGUGUUGUUCAUUGGAAAGAAUGUAACCCGUGCCACACCGAGGGUCGGACCAAACUGUUACAAACACUAAAAAAGAAUAUUCAAGCGAUGAUAAUCUGAGACAACCAGGUUAAAUUAACUAAAACACAGCCUGAGAUAUGAGACUGAAAGAAUCAGUAAAAAAAAAAAAAUAGAAAGUUCAAGGCCUAAUAACCUAAUGUCAAAGAUAAAAACAAAAAAAAAGCUUCAAAAAAUACAAUGCCGAAAAAGAAAACCAGAGUCAGCUCGGGUAACUUGACAAACCAACAACCCAUGAUAUGACUUUGGGAUGAAAAAAAGAAUUUCAAAAGGAUGACCUAUGUCGCACCGGACAUCGCAGCAGCCUUAAAAUUUUAUAUUUCAUGGAAAGAAUGGAUUUCUGGCAUCCUAUUCUUUAUUGGGGAACGAUAUUGUUUAAGGAGUCACCACCUAGUAUUAUGGUUACUAGGAACCCUAACUGGUCAACAGAGAUUCUAUGGUUCGGGACUAGUUACGUAAAAGGAAAGAUAUUAUCACCCCUUAAACGUCCUGCCUGUGGCAGACCUCAUUGCUGGUUUUGCCUUAAAUUGCUAAAUAUUUAUUAGAUUAUACUAUUAUAAUUUGCUUAUAAUAUUCCUGACUCUAGCAUCAGUGAAUGUUCAACUACGGAUACUUCUAACUCUGGCGUUAGUAAAUAUUACGUAGCUAUAAAAUAAAUUUAUAUCAAUAUUUUUAUUCCUGACUCUAGCGUCAGUGAAUAAAUAAAAAAAAUAAAUUUAUGUUAUUUUUAUUCAUGCAUACACAUAUUUUUUAUUAUUUUUUAUUUUUUAUUUUUUUUAUUUGAGGCUGGGCCCAGCUCAGCCCAUAUGGGCUGGGCUAGACCCAGCCAGCCCGGCUGGGCAAAGCAACACGCGUGAGCUAAUUCACGCGUGUUGCUCACUGUUCAAGUGAAUUAAAAUUCACUUGAACAGUGCAAUGUGCUAAUUAUUUGGAGAAUGUAGCAAAGCGGGAGGAGAAAGAUUGCUUACCUGAUCUGCUGGAGGCGAUGAAGACGACGGUGAAGUUGAUGUUAGUCUAUGUGUUUUCUGCUUGCGUUUUUCCUUUUGCUUUCCUUGUGAUUCUGUCUGAAUUUAUUCCUCUGUUUCCUUCCCCCCCGAAUUCUCUCCGUUUUUGGUCUCUCUCUCGCUGUAAGCCCCCCCCUGCUCGUCGUCUCCUCUCUUUAUGCUCACGGCUUUCUGUGAAUUUGUUUUGACUGAUCCCUUUCUACUCUGUUUCGUUCUUCGUUUGCCCAAGUUCGUCCUCCCAGUUUUCUUCCUCCGUUCUCUCCUGCCCCUUUUCUUCCCCCCCCCCCCCCCCCCUCCCUUGCUGAGGCCUUUCUCUGGCUUUUAUAAAGCCAGAGAAGGUCUUGUGUCCCGGCCUCCAGAAAUGGCGGGCAUCGUGGAGGCGAGAGAUCGUGGCUUCAGGAAUGGCAUCGUGGGCAUAGUGGCUGUGAUCUGCUGAAUCUUCCCCUGGCCAUGAUCUGCUGAAUUUCACUGUUAAACCGGCUUCCUACGCGCGAAACGAAGGAGACAAUGAACAAUGCUUCCAAAACGGCGUCGUUGUGUCCUUGGGCAUCUGUUUUUCACUUUGGUCCCUAAACAGUUUAAACUUAACAAUUGGGAUCCUAAUCAGUAAUAAUUGAUUUCUUGUGCCCUUGGGUUAAUUUCAAUUAAAUCCCUGAAUUUAUUUAAUUAAUUAAAUCAAAGUUUAAUUAAGUCCACAAACUUAUUAAUUCUUCUGAUUUCAUUUAAUUAAACUAAUCCAAAUUUUAAUUAAAUUUCCAAACUUAUUAAUUCUUUAAUUUCUGACCAAUUUACUCUCAAAUCUGAUAAUUUCAUCCCUGAACUUCGAAUUUGUGUUGUUUUAACCCCAUUCUCAAAUAUAUUUUUAUCCAUUUAUUUUUUUUAUUCAAAAAUUGGGUUAUGACAACCUAGUAAAAAAAAACCAAAGUUUGAUGAUAAAAUGUCAAAAAAAACUUGAGUCAAUCAUAGUUAACUUACCAACCUGCUAUCGGAAUAACCAAACACUAAGAAAAGUGAAAAAAUAAAAAAGCUCAAGGGCAAAUAAUUUAAUGUAAAAUGAUAAAAUUAAAAAAAAAAGCAUAAAAAAAUUCAAGGGAAAAAAUCCUAGUCAAUCUAGGUUAACUUGACUAACCCAUCACACACGACAUGAGAUAUUGAUGGAAAAAAAAAUCAGACUUCCUAAAAAGGACCAGGCAAAAAAGGUCUAAGUUAAAUAAAAAAACAUUGUGAACAAAAAUGCAAGAUGACCCUAGUUAACUUGAUCAACCCACUCUUGAAAUAACGAAAUAGAAAGAGAAGAAAAAAAAAUAACAAAGCUCAGUGCAAAUAAUUUAAUGCAAAAUGAUAAAAAUAAAAAAUAAAAACAAAGUCAUAAAAAAAUUGGGGAACACCGAGUCAACUCGGGUUACCUCGACUGACCCGCCACUCGCGGCAUGAGAUUAGGAUGAAAAAAAUUAGACUUCCAAAAAAAGAACCUAGCGAAAAAGACUGUAGUUAAAUAAAAAGACAUCGUGUAAGAAAAUGCAAGCUAACCGGGGUUAACUUGAUUAACCUGUACUCGGGAUAACCCAAAAUAAUAAUAAAAAAAGUGAAAAAAUCACUUAGCUCAAUGACCAAUAAUUUAACAACAAUGUAUGAAAUUGUUAAAAAAAUCAAUUUCAUAAAAAAAAUAAAGGGGAAAAAACAUGAGGCAAUCAUGGUUAACUUGACUAAUCUAUUACCUGAAAUAUGAGAUCGAGAUAACUCAAUAAAAAAAAGAAAAAUAAUGAGUUAAGGGCUUAAUAACUAAAUGUCAAAGGAUAAAUUAAAAAAAAAUAUCAUUAAAUACCUGUUGUAACAGUGUCAAAUGUGCAUGGGAUGCACACUUCGGCAGGCUGUCCAAAACAGGGCCUGAGGGUGCUGGCAGCCAUGCCAACAGGGGCAGAAAUUGGCAGCGCAGAUUUGUGCAGCUGUAGGUUCGUCAAAGAAAAAUCGGCAGCGCAGAUUGUUGACGAACAUGGGCUGGACGAUGGACUGUCCAGGCCACGCAGGAAAACUCGUCAGGGGGAUAGGCUGACGAGAACUGGGGCUGUCGAGGAAUUCGGCAGCGAAGACAUUGGCAGCCUGCACGCAGAUGCGAAUUCGGCAGCGCGCAGCAGCUUGUGCAAGUCGUUGGCUCGACUUGGCACGAUCUGAAACUUGGACGAAGGACUGUCCAAGGCAUGUGAGUGACUCAACGGAUGACGCAGCAAGAGCUGGCAGCAGGGGCUGCCAGGUGGGCAUGCAGAACGUGGGUAGUGGCAGUUAUGGAUAUCCAAGAUCAUGUGGGUAGUGGCAGUUAUGGAUAUCCAAGAUCAUGGGAUCAUGGGGGCUGACCAGGGGUUGCUCUCAACCCACUAAAGAUCAUGGGGGGAAAACUUCUCACUACUUGGUAGAUAAUGGGGCCACUAUGUUCAUGGGUGAACAUGGGUGAGAUAGUGUCCCACUACUUCCUUAAAAGUAGGAAUGGGGGGUGUGCCUUGUAAAUGCUUGUCUAUAAAUACUUGUGGUAGCUUUUGGUUGAGGGGGGCGGCAUGUAUGGGCAUGCAGCAGCAUGCGUUGGGAAUGUUCAGCAUGUAGGGGCAUGCAAGAACAUGUAGAGCACUAGUUAGAGGUAGCUUGGUGUAGCAUGCAAUCUUUGUGCAUAGCACACAUACGGAAUUGUGUAUAGUUUCCUUUGUUAACGAGAUCAAUAAAGGUGGGGACAGAGUUCCUAUAAAGCUUGUUGUGCACUUUGAUUCUUAUUCUUACUUGUGUAUUCCGCUUGCUUAGUUACUAGGCAAACACGAGUGGGAUUGGCGAGGGAAGGCUGAGUCUAGCGAGGGACUAGGCUGCCGCACGGGUUUCUUCGCGGAGCGAAAAAUUACCCCGUGACACCUGCCAUGUUGGGAGAUAACUAUAAAAAAAAUAACAAAAUAAAAUAUUUAAAAGGAUGAUCGUAGCAUUAACGGUGAAGCACUUCCAGAUGGAAGUCAAGAGUGAGUUAGAAGGUUUCAGCAGUUGCGUUUGAAGCUUAAGACGGCCAAUAACUGAGCUGGUGUUUCAAGAUUCAGCCGUGUAAAUUGUAAAACUAAUUGUGAUUGGAUAGUAAUUGUCCGUCUAAUUAGUGCACUGAUUAUUGUUUGUAAAAUAGAAAGUUGAAAUAUAAAUAUAAAACGAACAAACAUAUUUCGGAUUACAAGAUAAGUAUGUUUUUUUUUUUUUGGUGUCUAAACCAUCUAUCCUCGGAGUAAAACGUCAUUGCACGCCCAUAGUGCUGACGGUCUCGGUCGAUGGCACAGACACCAUUUAUUCUUUGGGCUUCCGAGCAUUUCAAAUCGAUGCAUGCUGCAGAGAUCGAGCGUAAUUCUAGCAUUAUUAUAUUAUAAAAAAUAUAUUGUGGACCCAGAAUUGGAAAUGACUUCAAAUUAUGCACAGGCAUGGAAGGACUUGCCCUUCAACAAUAUCGUGCACCUUGUUGCUUAUUCGAACAAAAACCUCGCAGAAAUCUCAAGAAAAAAUUUACAAAACCAAAUUCUCAAUCAGCUCAAUAUUAAAAAAAAUUGACAAAUAUAAUUUUGAAAAAUAAAGAAAUAAAAAAACAACAUUUUCUAAAAUCACAAGUGCCAAAAAUAAUGGGAAGGAUGGGCUAGGUAAAAUACAAUUAACUGAUAACAAACCUUAUUUAUUCUUGUAGUUUUUUUAUUAAAUGGGGUCCUUGGCCAUUGCCCAUGUUGCCCAAAAUGCUCUAGCUCACUAAACACUUAGACAAGCAUGCAAGAUCUUCAGCAAGUGUUUGGUUUUCGCAAGUUAGAACGAACGAGGUGCACGAGAGGCAAUACGAGCGUACCUCCCGACUCAUUUAGUCUUUGAAAAAGCGUAGUCAUAAGCCUGCGCUUCUCUUGUUCUAUCUACAAAUAAUCCAUCAAGAUUUAACUAACGCCAUGCGAAAUCGAUCAAAUGAACAAGAUUUCCGAAAUCUCUCGCUCGAUGUCUUUCUACCGUGAAUACAGUAGCUAGCUAGUAUAAAUUAACAAGGUCCUUGCAAGAAACCAUAUCAAUCCAGCAGAUAGCUUAAACAUAACCAUUUCUCUCUUUUUUCACGACCCUUGAGAAAAAAAAUGCAGAUCUUCAGCAAAGUGUUGAGAGAUACUGAUGUCCAUGUUCGGUUCUCGUUCCCAACUCAUUGCUUAGAGCAUUUAGAUUUUGCUGGAAAUAAUUCUGUUGAUUUGUAUGUUAAAGAUAGCUGCGGUGAGCUUCGAGUUAUUCGUUGCCUGAAGAGAAAUGGAGUUUAUGACAAGCCAGUGCUUUCUAUGGGCUGGCUUAAAUUUGUUGAUGAUUAUGGACUGAGAGUUGGUGACAUGGUUGUUCUUCAUCGUGAGGAUGACCAUAACCUGGGGUCACAGUUCAUGAUUGAAGCUAAGAGGAGAAUGAAGCUGUUUGGUGAGGAGGAUUGGGGUGAAGUGACAAGAGAUAACUAGCUAUUAUUUGCAUGGAGCGUGGAUGUUCGGCCAGAUCCAGAUAUAUAUAGAAGAAUCAAUUUCCUAAGUUUGGUGUUUUUGUGUGUGUAAAUUAAACAAAUAUGUUGCUGUUCUUAGUUUCUUGAAUAUGUAUUACGUGCAUGUAAUUCUCAGCAAUAAUGGAUUUAAUUAAUUAUAUGUGAUCAGAUUCUGUCUCUAAUAGUAUGAGUUAUACAGUAUAUAUGUACUGAUCUCAAAUUCCGUUUCCAAGAGUUUUUUUUUUUUUUUUUCCUUCAAGUUUUACAUUUCCAGGUUUUUCAAUUUUGUUGGUUUAAAUCAUUGGUGAUGCUAAGAAACAAACAUCAUUGUUUCCAAUCUUACGGUGUCAAUCAUGGUUGUUAAAAUCAUGUUUUGACUCGUAAAAUUGUAUGAUUUUACAAGUCAAAAUAUACUUUACAUGCUGAAUCGUUUGAAAAAAUAAAAAUAGAUGAAAUCAAAUUGAAAUUGAAUGAAAUCGUUGAAAAUCACGAGUUCAUGACCGAUUAAACGACUUCACCAAAACACAUAAACUGAAGUAAAUGUUUCCCUCCAUGCUCCAGCUGUCCGGCGUCUAUUGGCUGGGUAAAUGCACAGUCACUAAUAAAAACAAAGUCUCCAGUCAUCAGUGCGUCGCCUUUCUUCCUUUUCAAUGAGAACAAAUCCCUAAUCUCCUUCUCUAUUAACCAACCAGCAACCACAAAAGCGGCGACGAUCAGUCCAGUCUUCACUACAGUAGCUAGCUAGUUAUAAAUUAACAAGCUCCUUGCAAGAAACUAUAUCAAUCUAGCUGCAGAUAGCUUAAAGGCAACCAUUUCUCUCUUUUUUCACGACCCUUGAGAAAAAAAUGCAGAUCUUCAGCGAAGUGUUGGGAGAUACUGAUGUUCGUUUUCGGUUCUCGCUCCCAGCUCAUUGCUUACAGCAUUUAGAUUUUGCUGGAAAUAAUUAUGUUGAUUUGCAUGUUAAAGAUAGCUCUGGUGAGCUUCGAGUUAUUCGUUGCCUGAAGAGAAAUGAAGAUUAUGACAAGCCAGUGCUUUCUAAGGGCUGGCUUAAAUUUGUUGCUGAUUAUGGACUGAGAGCUGAUGACAUGGUUGUUCUUCAUCGUGAGGAUGACCAUAACCUGGGGUCACAGUUCAGGAUUGAAGCUAAGAGGAGAAUCAAGCUGUUUGGUGAGGAGGAUUGGAGUGAUGUGACAAGAGCUAACUAGCUAUUAUUUGCAUGGAGCGUGGAUGUUCGGCCAUAUCCAGAUAUGCAUAGAAGAAUGGAUUUC